rnacentral:tRNA from 1 species
AAGAGAAUAAAAAAAGAAGCCGCUAACUAUCUUUUAUACACAAAAAUGUAAUUCUCUUA